rnacentral:tRNA from 1 species
GCCCUGGUAGUGUAGUGGCCUAUCACGUAGCCCUGUCGAGGCUACAACCCGGGUUCGACCGUUACAGGGUU